rnacentral:misc_RNA from 1 species
AACGCGACGAGGAACGGGGCUGCUCUCUUCGUCUCAUAUAUAGCGGACAUAAAUUUAUUCUCGCAUAUUUUUGUACUUUCGUGUGUUCGGGUGAUGAAUUGAAAUUUUUUUACAAAUAGAACAAAAGGACCGAUUGCCAUUUUAAGUGCUCUCGUACGUUAUAACAUAUCGAGUGUGUGACAACUGUGACAAUAUCCCUCGCGAAUGUCCAUAGAAUAAGAAAGAAAAGAGAAAAACAGAAUGAAAUAUAAAUUGAUUUAAUUGAAUAUUUAGUACGUUUCGUAUAUAAUAAGCGAUUAGGUAGGUUGAAAGAAUAAGAAAAAAAAUAGAUACAAAUUCUUUGAUUACUGAUGGGUAGAACAGAUAUGUCAAAAACGCUGAACGCUUAUAGAAUUAAGAAAAUCGAACAUAUUGGCAGAAUGACAGCCAUGACACAGGAGGAGAUAGUAGCCGGCGCUCGGACGGUGGCCCAGGGACUGGAGGCUCUUCGCUGUGAACACGGGGGUCUCCUGCAGGGUCUACAGUCUCAGGAGGCACCAGCGGCGAGGGAAAAGGCCAGUCUAAUAUCCAGGAAUAUUGAAAUGAUCGAAUUGGGUCUUGGAGAAGCACAAGUCAUGAUGGCCUUGGCUAGUCACUUACAAAUGGUCGAAGCUGAGAAGCAGAAACUCAGAACGCAAGUUAGACGAUUGUGUCAGGAAAAUGCGUGGCUCAGAGACGAGCUUGCAGGAACUCAACAGAAGUUGCAGGGCAGUGAACAAGCGGUUGCACAACUAGAAGUAGAGAAGAGGCAGCUGAACUUUAUGGCCAGCAUAAGACAAUUUGAUCCUGAUCCACCAGCUGAGGAUGAAAAUACAAAGGAUAGGCCGAAAGAUGAUCCAGUUGUUGAUCUGUUCCCGGAUGAUGAUAACGAUGAUCGAACCAUGACACCAACUCCACCAUCUCAGUUCGCUCAACAAGUGAAUGCUGGAUACGAAAUACCAGCACGUCUCCGUACUCUACAUAAUCUUGUUAUCCAAUAUGCGAGUCAAGGGCGUUACGAAGUUGCAGUACCACUGUGCAAGCAGGCGUUAGAAGACCUUGAAAAAACAUCUGGUCAUGAUCACCCCGAUGUUGCAACGAUGCUAAAUAUUUUAGCCCUAGUUUACAGAGAUCAAAACAAGUUCAAAGAGGCAGCAAAUCUGCUUAAUGAUGCUUUAGCCAUCAGAGAAAAAACUUUGGGUGAAAAUCACCCAGCUGUUGCUGCAACGUUAAAUAACUUGGCUGUUUUAUAUGGUAAACGUGGGAAAUAUAAGGAAGCUGAGCCGUUAUGCAAGCGUGCAUUGGAGAUUCGGGAAAAGGUACUUGGACGUGAGCAUCCAGAUGUUGCAAAACAGUUGAAUAAUUUGGCGCUGUUGUGUCAAAACCAGGGAAAAUAUGAGGAGGUUGAACGCUACUAUCAACGUGCUUUAGUAAUUUACGAAUCAAAGUUAGGGCCAGACGAUCCAAACGUUGCAAAGACAAAAAAUAAUCUUGCCUCUUGUUACCUCAAACAAGGAAAAUAUAAGGAGGCGGAGGUUCUCUACAAACAGGUCCUAACAAGAGCUCAUGAACGUGAAUUUGGGGCAAUUGAAGGUGACAACAAACCAAUAUGGCAGGUAGCGGAAGAGCGUGAAGAAAAUAAACAUAGAAAUAAGGAAAACGCGCCAUAUGGUGAAUAUGGUGGUUGGCAUAAAGCAGCAAAAGUCGAUUCACCUACGGUAACUACAACACUCAAAAACUUAGGCGCACUUUACCGGCGACAGGGAAAAUAUGAGGCUGCUGAAACACUUGAAGACUGUGCGUUGAGGUCACGAAGAGAGCCGCACGUACAGCAGGCACUAGACUUAGUGAAGCAGGCAAAAGUAGCACAGAUCCUUGGAGAUGAGAAAGGAUCAACAAGGCGAGGCUCACGAUCGAGUUUGGCAAACAGUGAGCAAGAACAGCACGACGAGUUUUUUUCGUUGUCCGGCCCGAAUCCACGAUUCGACGACUCGACACUCAAUCACAGACCUCGCUGCCGUUGGUACAAGGGGCGCUGCACGAAGAACAGUCUGGCCAUCAAGAUGCUAGCCCAAACAAACCAGGACUCAAAACCAAACUGUUCAAUGUUCUUGGAAUUCAUUCUUCUACGUAGGACGUUGCUCUGAUUGUUUGAUUGUUCUCUUGUUUGUUCCUUUGUUAACUUGGGGUUGUUUUAGAUAACGCAGCACUAGAUUCGUCGAUAUUUAUAGUUGAAAAAAAAUUCAUACAACUGAAUUUCCUACAGCAACAAAGUAUACUCUUCAACUACAUAAACAGCUUUUAUUUCAACUGAAUUCGGAAAUAAAUAUUUUGCUUCUAGGAUAAUAAUUAAACGUUUCUCAGGCAAGUUUUGCGUUCAAUCAUGUGAAGAAUAUGACUUUAAACUGCUAUUUUGGCAUCAUGUUUUCGGAUAAAAUCUUGACUCGAGGCUAAGAGCAUCUGAUUAUAGAUCCAAAAUUAUUUCCGUUCAAUAGCAAUUAAUAAAGCUUAUCAUCGAAUUGAUUUUCCAUACUUUCAUGUUAAACGUGAAGCAAAAAAACCUGCUACAAACAGACGACGAUUUCUUGGAGAUGAAAACAAGCUAUUGAGUGCUGUUGAAAUUCGCUAAUUUGUAAUUUCUGGAAGGAUAGAGUGAAUUAAAUUGCUACAUCGGAUUAAAUCGUUUAUAUAACAUUAAUAAUACAUUAUUUUUGAAAGUUGAGGCAGCGUUUUACCGAAGCAAUUGAUGAUGAAGUCGAUUUGUCCAGGGUGCUUCAUAGUCGGGAUUGUACAUCUUGUUGAAAACGAAAUUAUUUACAACAAUAUAUACGUUUAUGCUCGCAAAACUAUUUAACCAUGCCUAAUACAUCGUUGUUAGCAAGAUAUCGUAGAAUUGUGCCGCGAUAAAUAUAACGAAUAGUCUUCCUCUGUUGAAAACAUUACAGAUAAUCUAUUCACGAAACAACUACACAAUUUAGUAUUCUAUUAACCAAAUUACUGUUAUCUUGAAGCGAUAAUUCACAAUGAUAUAUUAUUACAUUUGCUUUGCAUAACUAUAUAGCUGAGUAUAGAUACGCAAAGGCAAUUUUUUAAACACCCUAUUCACGAAUAUACUUGUGUUCUGAAUACUGUGGGGACGAGGCUCGAUGUUCAAGUCAUUUAUAUUCGCAGUGAUUCUCUCAUAAUUUGAUAGUCUACAUUGUUCUAUUUUUAGUAAAGUUCACACUUUGCAAGGGUUUUAUCAUGAUUUUACAAAAUGUUCGAAACAAUUUUAUAUAUCGUUUUUUUACUGUAUCAAUCUCUUUUUACGUCCUGCAUGUGCAUAUUUCUAAGAAAAAUUUAAUUCUGGGUACUUGAGUAUCGUUUUAUUUAGUUCACUAUGUUGCGCCGAACUUUUCAAAUUUAGGCAAAAUCAUUUUUAACAAACUCAUUCAUUUUUAGCUAACAAGUAUAAUACAUCAGGAUAAAAUAAGAGCUCUAUAUUCAAUCGAGAUCAGGCUCAUAUUUACACAGUCAUAAAAUUUGGCACCUGGAUGCCAAAAACAAAAAUAGUAUACGUAGAAAUAUAUAUAUAUAUCACGAUUAGUAUUUAAUAAAGUUGUAACAAAAGCCGUUUAUUCAGUAUAAAACGCAGAAAAACUAAUCGAUAACGCAUACAGGUCGCGCAGAAUAUUUGUCAGGCUAUUUAUAAAAGUUAUACUUUGAUAUGAGGGACCCUGUAUUAAUUUUUUUUUUUUUUUUUUCAUUUUCAUUUUUACCUUUAUAGAAUAAUUAAGUUUCUUACGAAGUAAUGUUAAUUGUUUAACUUUAUUACUAGAUAGAAUUCAAGUCUAAGAUUUCAAUUGAUUGUUCCAAGAGUUUAAAGAACAGUUAUUGUAGGAAAACUGUAAAACAGUGAAGGGUAGUGCCUUGAUACUUUAACAAAUCAAUAAAUUAUUUUACAAAAGUGAAAGAUUAUUAUUUAUAAAUAAAAGUUAUUCACGCUGUCUCUGUCAUAGUAAGAUUUUGUUAAAAGCCCUUGCCUUUUUUACUGCAUGGGAUUUAACCGUUUCUCGUAGGCAUAUAUCCGUUCAAUAGGAAUUUCAAAAACGGUAUACAUUGUAUUGAUGCAGAGCAUAAUUAGGUAACAGUAGAGUGUCUUCUCUGGUAAUCCGUUCAAAAAAAUUAUCUACUUAGUCUAGAUGAUUGAUCAUUGUCAUGAUAGAUUUCCAUUUGAAGCUCUUUUGGAGAAAUAAUAACAGUAGACUGUUGUACUCAUUCUGAAUACUAAAAUUUUGAUUAAUGUUGAGGGUGUAAACCAAUUUUGAAAACAAGAUAGUAGAACUUGAUACACUUGGAAGAAUGCUUGCAUAUCGUAUGACAAAACGUUAAGAACUUAGGUCAUAAUUAUAAGAUCUGCAUCAUUAUUUCUAAAUUCUAAAAUCAGAAGCCGUAUUAAAGAUGUUAGAUUUAAUUUCUGUUGCCGAUCGCCAUCGCAGUCUCUAAGAUAUUAUUUUACAUGGUAUACCAUAAUCAGGAUCGAGGUCAUCGAGGUUUUUAUGCAUCUUUACCUUUGACUCGUAUUAGGUUUUCUUUCAUAUACUUGCGUUCGUAUUUUUUCGACUUUAUUUGAAUACCGCGGGCCUGGGGUUUAGGUACGGAUGCCAGCAGAUCAUCAAAAUCGAAAUAACCAGACGGAAUGUACCUAAAAUAAACAGGAUCGCAAACACGCUGUUCGUGCCCAGUAACCAGGAUAUAAAAGAAACAUUCAAAUGAAGGCCAAGGACUCGACAAUGUUUUACUAAAAUGUUGCCCGACGUCCACAAGACCUACAUCAUAUGGUUUCUCAGCACAUUCCAGCUGCUUUUAAAUUGAUACGAGAUUUCAGGCUUAUCUAGGUGGGUUCAUUAAAUACUUAAUCAGUUCAAAUACAGUGAUCACAAAGCAAACGUAACAACUUCUUGACAUGCUCAUUUUAGGAAACGAGUGACAACGAUUCGAAAUAAAAAUUCACUCUAAUGGUAACCUCAAUUCUUUUCAUACUUAUAUUACUUUUAAUGUGUAAAAAUCUGUUAUAGGUGAGCGUAUAUUAUUAAUUGUAAAGCAAGUCAUCAAAUCCUGCAUGGAUUAUAUUUCCCAAAAUAUCACCUUUGCAAGCCUGUGCUCUGUAUCAAAAUAAAUCGUUACAACGUCAAAAUCUAUUUGCACAGAUCUAGUAAUGUAGCGGAAUAACUUUGUGGCGUUAUCACUUUCUAGUUCAUCAUGCAUAUUUAAUUGAAUGAGAAAAAACAAAUACGUAUCCACAGAAUGGAAAAAAAAGAAGAAAAACUAUGUAAAUAAAUACUGGCAAACUACAACCGAUUUUUGCAGCAUGUAAUACUGUUAACUUGACUGGAAAAUAAUAAAAAAAAAAAAAAAAAAACA